rnacentral:rRNA from 1 species
GAUGAACGCUGGCGGCGUGCCUAAUACAUGCAAGUCAAACGCGCAGCGAAAGGUGCUUGCACCUUUCAAGCGAGUGGCGAACGGGUGAGUAACACGUGGAUAACCUGCCUCAAGGCUGGGGAUAACAUUUGGAAACAGAUGCUAAUACCGAAUAAAACUUAGUAUCGCAUGAUACAAAGUUGAAAGGCGCUACGGCGUCACCUAGAGAUGGGUCCGCGGUGCAUUAGUUAGUUGGUGGGGUAAAGGCCUACCAAGACAAUGAUGCAUAGCCGAGUUGAGAGACGGAUCGGCCACAUUGGGACUGAGACCCGGCCCAAACUCCUACGGGAGGCUGCAGUAGGGAAUCUUCCACAAUGGGCGAAAGCCUGAUGGAGCAACGCCGCGUGUGUGAUGAAGGCUUUAGGGUCGUAAAGCACUGUUGUAUGGGAAGAAAUGCUAGGAUAGGGAAUGAUUCUAGUUCGACGGUACCAUACCAGAAAGGGACGGCUAAAUACGUGCCAGCCGCCGCAGUAA